GGUGGUAGCUCAGUGGUGGAGUGCUUGCCUCACACGUGUGAGCCCGGGGUUCAAUCCUCAGCACCA
rnacentral:tRNA from 1 species